AGGGGCCACUUGGCAACAGGGGCCCGCAGGGCACACUGGGCUGCUCAUUGGAUCAGACGGAGGUCGGAAGCCAUGCUCUGCGUCUGAGGGCGCACUCGGGAACCCACGUCCCUCUUCUUUCUGGAGCCCUGACGGAGGGAGGAUGAUGGAGAAGGACACAGCCGCACACAGGAGGCACAGGCCAGGCCCCGGGGCCCCUCCAUCAGGGGGAGCCCCCAGACACCUCAAGGCGGCCAGCGAGACGGUCGAGCUGCAGCGCAGCAGGAGCGUGGGUGGUCUGCUGCAGAAGGGGGACCCUCUGCGCUGCGUCAAGAAGCUGAGUGGGGAGCUGGAGUCCAAGGACCAGGGAAGAGACCUACAGAGUGACACUGAGGAUGCCAACUGUAAGGCAGACCCAGAGGAAGAGAAGCAGGAAAAGAAUCAGGACUCCCUCAGGAAGCUGGACCCUGAUGGUGGCUGGGCGGGGCCGGCGGAACCGGAGUUGGAGUCCAUAAAGCCGGAUGAGCCUUUGGGAAAAGAGAAACCAUCUGUGUUUGUGGAGAUUGAUCUGGGAGACCAUGUGGAGGAGGUGGUCACAGGCACCAUGAAAGAAGAGAAGCAGUCCGAGAUGGACAUGGGGGGUUCAUCAGAAGACGGAGACCCAGCACUGAUGAGCCCGGAGGGGCUGAGACGUGAGCAGCAGGACUCAGGCAUGACCCUUACCUUGUGGCCCCCUCACCCCACAGCAAGACCCGCUCUCCCCAUCCCAUCAGCCAACAGCUUGGCCAGACCGUGAAGUGGGAGGAGGCAGAGGACCAGGACCAGCUGGGUGUGCUGCAUCCCUUACUCCACCAGAAGGAAGGCCAAGGACAGUGUGUAACAGCUCUGGACGAGGGCCCCGAUGACCACCCAGGUGUGAGCCACUGACCCGCUGGGUGAGCAAUGACACCAUCUUUUUAAAAGACACAAUAAAGCAUGAACAGAA